UACGUAGGGGCGAGCGUUGUCCGGAUUCAUUGGGCGUAAAGAGCUCGUAGGCGGUUCGGCAAGUCGGGUGUGAAAACUCCAGGCUCAACCUGGAGACGCCACCCGAUACUGCUGUGACUCGAGUCCGGUAGGGGACCACGGGAAUUCCUGGUGUAGCGGUGAAAUGCGCAGAUAUCAGGAGGAACACCUGUGGCGAAGGCGGCCCCCUGGGCCGGCCCUGACACUGACGACGCGAAGGCGUGGGGAGCGAACGGG
rnacentral:rRNA from 1 species